AGAGAGCAAAUUAGAAUCCAAGGAAGUUGACAUGUCAUCACUUCAUUUUUUUGCGCCUGCGCAUAAAUCUGAGAAACAAACCACAUUUGUUCCGGACCUGGGAUGCCUUCCGGACCUGGGAUGCCUGCCUUCUGAUGGAGAUAAUCAAAGAUCUAUCCAUUACCUUCGACACCGUGAACCAUCAGAUCCUCCUUUACACCCUCUCAGGGCUGGGCAUCUGAGGCUCUGCACACUCUUGGAUUGCAUCCUACCUGGCAGACGGCUCCUACCAGGUCUGUUAUUGUACUCGUCAAGAGUGGAUAUCGGAUAAGUGUUCUUGGUCUGCAAGCUAUUGAGGUUCACAUUUAAGCAACUAGCGUUGCUUAGUGACAGAUCAGCUGACGAUACAAGAACAAUCAAGGCAUCAAUAUAAAAAGGUAAAUCAUGUGGAUUGAUGCAGAUGGUUCUAAUGCCUGCUCUUAUCACAUUUGAUUAGGGAAGGUAAUCGGUGUGCAUGCAUGUGAGAUCUUCUCUCUCCCUGAAGAUCUGAGGGGCUAGACAAUCCUCAUUAUGCAGACUCACAUGCUGUUUGAGGCGGGCCGAGCGGCAUGGCAGAAAUACCUUUACCCCUCUUAAAGCUGGUCCCCAGUGGGACUCAACAGCUGUCAUUUACCAUCGGCUCCAUCCCUCUGUAAUCCUGUAUAGCUCUGACUCCAGCUGACCGCAGCCUGCCACCAGCGCUCCCCUGGGAUCCCGCACUACACCGAGAGCCAAUCAGCAUCUGAUUAGAGGAAGCAGCCCAUGGAGAGGAGAGGUGUCCAUCUACCAUUACCCGAAGACAAUCAAACACACACACACACACA
rnacentral:lncRNA from 1 species